UGCCCAAUGCGGGAAUUGAACCCAGGUCGUAGUGGUCGGAAACCAACAGUUUAGACCAUCCUUCCACCGACCUCCUAGACUAACUAAGU
rnacentral:tRNA from 1 species